rnacentral:piRNA from 1 species
UCCCCUUCAGAGAUGCAAAUGUCCCAACA